rnacentral:rRNA from 1 species
ACUCAAAGGAAUAGACGGGGGCCCGCACAAGCGGUGGAGUAUGUGGUUUAAUUCGACGCAACGCGAAGAACCUUACCCAGACUUGACAUUGAUGGAAUCCUGCAGAAAUGCGGGAGUACCCUUCGGGGACCUGAAAACAGGUGCUGCAUGGCUGUCGUCAGCUCGUGUCGUGAGAUGUUGGGUUAAGUCCCGCAACGAGCGCAACCCUUGUCGUUAGUUGCCAGCAGGUAAAGCUGGGCACUCUAGCGAGACUGCCGGUGUUAAACCGGAGGAAGGUGGGGAUGACGUCAAGUCCUCAUGGCCUUUAUGUCUGGGGCUACACACGUACUACAAUGGCAACUACAAAGCGUCGCGAACUCGUGAGAGGGAGCAAAUCGCAAAAAAGUUGUCUCAGUUCGGAUCGGAGUCUGCAACUCGACUUCGUGAAGUCGGAAUCGCUAGUAAUCGUGGAUCAGCAUGCCACGGUGAAUACGUUCCCGGGCCUUGUACACACCGCCCGU